CUCCCACCUGCCUCAUGCGACCCUGACCUGAGAGCAUAACCUUCAGGUGACACUUGGUGUAGACCCCUUCCUGACAACAGACUGACCGACACAGAGGUCCUCCCUGCCCCGGGGAGCACGCGGACGUCCACACCACAGGUGCCCGGGGAGCACACGGACGUCCACACCGCAGGUGCCCGGGGAGCACGUCGACGUCCACACCGCAGGUGCCCGGGGAGCACGUGGGCGUCCACACCACAGGUGCCCAGGGAGCAUGCGGGUGUCCACACUGCAGGUGCCCCGGGGAGCACGCAGACAUCCACACCGCAGGUGCCCAGGGAGCAUGCAGGCGUCCGCACUGCAGGUGCCCGGGGAACACGUGGGCAUCCACACCGCAGGUGCCCAGGGAGCAUGCAGACGUCCACACCACAGGUGCCCCGGGGAGCACACAGGCGUCCACACCGCAGGUGCCCCAGGGCAGGGCGUGGAGACCUCGGCGAUGACACACGCUUUCCACUGGCAAGUGUUCAAGGCCGGUUUUUUGUUCCCUGAGCACAGGAACCAUCCUGCAAGCGCCUGACUCACCGGGUGAUUACAUCAAAGGCUGUUUGUCUUGGUCGGCUGCCUAUUUGGGUUAAAACCAAGAUAAAUGCGCACUGGCUGGAGCUGCUCACAAACACGCACGUUUCGGCGGAUCCUGGGAGGAGCGCGCCGUGUGCCCGGCUCGGCUCACCCCCAUCCUGUCGUGAUUCAGCAAGUUGCUGACGGAGCCGCACAGGGCCCGGUGCGUGGGCGCUUCCUGCGGGUUCGCUGUGCCCUGCCACCUGCUGGCGCCAGACGCCGGGCGCAGAGGACGGCGGUGCCCCGACCCCUGCCCGGGCCCUGCCGGUGGGGCUGGAGCCGCAGGCGACUCGGCACAGGCUCCCGCGGGGCUGAAACCGCGCCGCCCCCGCGUGCUGGGGGACCCCCUGGGGCCCUGGUCGGGACUGGGGCUCCCACUUGCCCUCCUCCUCUCUGUGGGGAGUGGGGACGCCCUCAGCUUUCAGGGGCCGCGGCUCGCGUCGGAGGGGGCGUCUGCAGGAGGCUCGGGGCCGCCCGGGGCUCUCCCCGCGGGUCAGCGGCCGGGACCGGCCACACGCACCCUGCCUGCCGCGCCUGCCGGGCUGUCUGGGCGACCGGAGGGGCUCACGUGCCCCGGGCCCCAGCCACCGGCCACCUGCUGGGACGCCCGACCGCCUGGCAGGACGGAGGGUGUGCGGGACGCGGUCUGGGGACCCUGCUCCCACAGCACGGCCCUCGGUCUCCGGCACGCAGUGGCCAGGCCUGCCCCAGGGUCGUGGGAGCCUUGUUCUGGGAGCUGCCGGGGCGGGGGCGCCGUCAGGCCGGAGAGCUGGCACCUCGCCGGGGCCCCGCAGUGGGAUGGCAGCGGGAGCAGGCGGCCGCGCGGGGGGCCCCGCGGCCUCGG
rnacentral:lncRNA from 12 species